UACGGGGGGGGGCAAGCGUUGUUCGGAAUUACUGGGCGUAAAGGGCUCGUAGGUGGCCAACUAAGUCAGACGUGAAAUCCCUCGGCUUAACCGGGGAACUGCGUCUGAUACUGGAUGGCUUGAGUUUGGGAGAGGGACGCGGAAUUCCCGGUGUAGAGGUGAAAUUCGUAGAUAUCGGGAGGAACACCGGUGGCGAAGGCGGCGACCUGGGUAGAUACUGACGCUGAGGCGCGAAAGCGUGGGGAGCAAACAGGG
rnacentral:rRNA from 1 species